UGGGGAAUAUUGGACAAUGGGGGCAACCCUGAUCCAGCAAUGCCGCGUGUGUGAAGAAGGCCUUCGGGUUGUAAAGCACUUUUGUCCGGAACGAAACGUGUCGGGUGAAUAUCCCGGCAAACUGACGGUACCGGAAGAAUCAGCACCGGCUAACUUCGUGCCAGCAGCCGCGGUAAUACGAAGGGUGCAAGCGUUACUCGGAAUUACUGGGCGUAAAGCGUGCGUAGGUGGUUUUUUAAGUCCGUUGUGAAAGCCCUGGGCUCAACCUGGGAAUGGCAGUGGAUACUGGAAAGCUAGAGUGCGGUAGAGGGUAGUGGAAUUCCCGGUGUAGCAGUGAAAUGCGUAGAGAUCGGGAGGAACACCAGUGGCGAAGGCGGCUACCUGGACCAGCACUGACACUGAGGCACGAAAGCGUGGGGAGCAAAC
rnacentral:rRNA from 1 species